UGGGAUGUGGCUCAAGUGGUAGUGCCCUCACCUGGCAUGCGUGAGGCACUGGGUUUGAUCCUCAGCACCACAU
rnacentral:tRNA from 1 species